rnacentral:rRNA from 1 species
GAAACGGCAGCUAAGACCGCAUAGGUAGGGACACUGCGUGGUGACCGUAUUAAAAGUGCUGCAAGGCACUGGUAGAGGAUGGACUUAUGGCGCAUUAGCUGGUUGGUGAGGUAACGGCUCACCAAGGCGACGAUGCGUAGCCGACCUGAGAGGGUGACCGGCCACACUGGGACUGAGACACGGCCCAGACUCCUACGGGAGGCAGCAGUAGGGAAUUUUCGGCAAUGGGGGGAACCCUGACCGAGCAACGCCGCGUGAAGGAAGAAGGAAUUCGUUCUGUAAACUUCUGUUAUAAAGGAAGAAAGACGGAUGGAGGAAAUGACAUCCGAGUGACGGUACUUUAUGAGAAAGCCACGGCUAACUACGUGCCAGCAGCCGCGGUAAUACGUAGGUGGCAAGCGUUAUCCGGAAUUAUUGGGCGUAAAGAGGGAGCAGGCGGCAGCAAAGGUCUGUGGUGAAAGACUGAAGCUUAACUUCAGUAAGCCAUAGAAACCGGGCAGCUAGAGUGCAGGAGAGGAUCGUGGAAUUCCAUGUGUAGCGGUGAAAUGCGUAGAUAUAUGGAGGAACACCAGUGGCGAAGGCGACGAUCUGGCCUGCAACUGACGCUCAGUCCCGAAAGCGUGGGGAGCAAAUAGGAUUAGAUACCCUAGUAGUCC